ACGACGACAUGGAAGCCAUGAAGGCGCAUGGCGGCAUGCAUGCAAAGCAACUGUUGCAAUGUGUUGUCCAAUGUGAGACCAUCAUAUGAUAGAUUCAUCAUUGUUAGGCAUGGUGAUUAACUAGCUACGAUCAUAUCGAUGGAAUCAUCAUGCAUGCCAUGGACCCUAUUAGCUAGCUUUUUUUUUUUCUCUUCUCCUUUUUCUUCUUCUUCUCCUUGUCGUCAUAAUUUAGUUCUGAUCAGUUUGAUGAUCAUGUAUGCAUUGCAUGUCCAGCCUACGUGCUUUAUUUCCGAGCUAGAGAUCGAUUAUAUAUCAUCUAUCAA
rnacentral:sRNA from 1 species